UGAUUGUGUGUCUGAGUGUGUGUGUGUGUGUGUGUGUGUGUGUAUGUGUGUGUGUGUGUUUUUUGCGGGCGAGGGGAAGAUGGCACACAUGCGGCAGGCAGAGGCUAACUCUCUGGAGUCUGUUUUCUCCUUCUACCUAACACGUGUUCUGGGAAUCAAACUUGGGCUGUCUGGCUUACCUUCACCUGCUGGCCAUCUACCGCAAACUGCCUCUCAGGACACCAGCAUGAUCUAGGUGGUCUCCUCUGCCCCAUCCCUCCAUCCUCUGCUCUCAGCUAUAACUGAAUCCCAGGUCUGGAACCAACACAUUCAGCAGCCUCAGCGCAUGUGUGGUAACAACGUCAAGGCAGACCACAGUCUGUGCUCUGGAGAGGAGGCAAGCCCACUCCAUGUGUCCUGGUUUCUCUUUUAACCUAGAAGCUCUUUCGCUUGCUGCUGUUACUCAUGCCUGUGGCCCAUUUUCCUGAUCAGUCUCUUUUCCUCUCUGCUCACACCUCCUCCCUCUGACUCUGUGAUAAAAGUGCUGAUCCAGUCAAUGCCGGAAAGCCAUCCCAGCUCCUCACAGUGCAAAAUUAGACAAAGAGCUGGAUGUCUCCAAGAAAGCAACUGUUUCUGAAGCCCUGGAAGUUCCAUAUCAAUGAGCUACUGGGUGUCCUGGCAACGUUCCCUGGGAGAACCCCAGCAUCCUGGCCUUUCCCCAGAUACCCGUGGCCCUGGCAAGCUUCAAAGCUACAACCCAGACAUGUCCGGGCAGAGCAGACAUCAAUGGACUCCACCAGUUGUUUGCUGCUCUCCUGAGAUAGGCAGCAGCUACAGUGUUUGAAUAAAAAUGGUUAGUUGGGAGCCAACUCUCAGCAGAAAGCAGCUAUCUUCUCUACAUCCAUCUUGGGCUAUUUACUUACAGGUUGGUACUUUUCCACCAUGACAAGAGGCUUGUUUUCCUAACAUGAUGUUUUUGCAAGCAGCCCACCACAGCUGAACACACUCUGAUAACAUUCUGUUUUUCUCAGACACAUCCUGGACUUGUGGUUAAGUGUCUCCAGCUGCACUCCCCAGAUUGUGUUUAUAUACCCAGAGUUGCCUUUCAAUAAAUGAGACUUGAUUAGACUGCCUUGUCACUAUUCUUUGCGUCUCUUGCC